CACAACAGGAAACAGCGCGGGAGAGUGGGAGCUCGGCACGCAUUCGUGGCCCUCCCCCCUCCAGUCUCUCGCCGCACACGGGCACACUUCUGUCCGUCUGCCCGUCUCUGCAAUCACGUUCCUUCGACCUUCUCUGCUGAUGUCGCGCGUAGUCGUGAUGGCACUUGCGCUGUCCUUCGCCAUGGCAGCCGCGCUUGCCGUCACCGCCGUGCAGAGCGGUAGCUGCAUCUUCCUCACCUCUCCGCCGUCGUACACGUUCAUUGGCGGCGGGUUUCACAUGCAACUCGCGCUUGAGUAUCCUCUGCCGGCCAAGGACGUGCGCCUCAGCUUCGACCUCCCCAAGUCUUUCUUCGUUGAUGAGGCGGAGGCCGAGCAGCUCUACCGGAUGGAGGUGCUCUCUGCCGACCCGAUGACGCAGGGAACGGCCGCUGUCGUCGUGGCCGACGUGACGCGCGCCUACUCGCCGCUGCGCAUGUCGUCCCGGUAUGCUUUCGACAUUGAGGCCCCCGUGUUCAAGGUCAACUACACGACAAACCAUGUGGAGCUGACCUUCCAGCAGCUGGGCGGCGAUGGCGCGGGUAGCGCGCUUGACGCGUACCUGGCGGAGGACGGUGCGCAGGCGCAGGUCCCCUUUCGAGCGCGCCUCGUCAUUCCGAUACACUCCCGCUACGAAGUCCUGGACACCAAGACGCCCUUCUCAUUGCUGCGCUUCAUCACUGGUGAGGGUGCCUACGUGCGCCGGUGCUUGACGAGGGUGGACGUGGCCGGCCGUGCUGACUCGCGCUGCUUAACAGGCGCGUACCGCUCCAGCGCCACUGUGGCCAAAUCAGAGGAGAAACCACAUUACAAGCACUGUCUCGACCUGCCCGUCGGUCUGCUGGCCGACCUUCCGUACGUGUACCACGCGCUUAUGGGGCUCCUGGUGGCUGGCGCCGCCCUCGUUAUCCUCGCUAUUCGUUAGCUGAGCUGCAUGUGUCUGCGAGCGCAGCCAUCGGUGAUUGUUGCGCGCGAUACGCGAUGAGACGUGCCCUUCCUCUGUGUGCGCACUGGCCAUUCUAGUACCACUGUGUAUCGCGUUCCCUAGUCGUCUUCGGCACACCACGCAACCGCCCACGCUGCACCCUCAAGUCUCUCACUGCACGUGUGCAUUCCUGUGUCGGUUGGUGUCGUGCAGGAAUGGAAGGACACCGCUGCAGAUGCGUGCGCGCGCGCAUCUACGCGUGAAGGAUCGGCGGUGGUGGUGUUGGCGGUGAUGACACCACGGACGUAAACACACACGCACGCUCUCUGUCUCUCUCGGGGUGUCGCUGCUCGCGGCACCGCCGCCUCCUCCGCUGUCUCUCACGCUGGCUUGGGCACGUUGCAGAUUCCCACGUAAAUUGCCGUGCCGCAAGGAGAUGUGGCCCUGCGCACGCCAACGGUCGGCGCAGAACCUACCGUCGUGCGCUGCCUUUGCUUUCUCCGCUUGUGCUGGCACUUCCUCUGCACUGACGGACACCAUCUGUGAUGACUCCUUCCCACUCCCACCCGUCGCCCCGCCUUCCAGCACGGACUACCCUUUUCUCCCUCUAUCUGUCCAUCCCUGUGUGUUUGUGUGUGCCGCUGAGACGACGCACGCGCUUGUCAUCGUCCCUUUUCCUCUCGGCUUCCUCUCUCGUCGUUAAAG
rnacentral:misc_RNA from 1 species